AUGUCAUCCAUCAAUUGAGCAGAAACUUACUGAGCAGCUUCUUCAUGCCAGGAGCUGGACUUUGCUCUGAUUCUGGUGGAGCCUGCUGUCCGAUGGAGGUGCCAGGAUUGGGUGGUGAGGGGACUGGGUAGAGCAAAGCCCCUGGAAUUAUUAGAAUAGUCGCAUGCCGAGUCACUUGAUAUAUAGCUUUGGAUUUUUACGCGUUGGCUUAGUUUUUAAACAGGGAGUAAAACUUAAAACUCCUGUGUAGGCUAGAAGAGAGUUUUAAGGCAGGGCUUUGCCAAAGGUUUCAAAACCUUAAUAUGGAUGAGUCAGGGCCCAGAUCCUCACAGCAGACUGUUAGCUUUGCAAGGCCGAUGAUUUGUGAAGGCUGGCGGAGACUGUCUGGACUGAGUUUAAUCCAGAAGGUCUUGAAGAUGCUAAAGCCAAGAGACAUGGAUUUUGAAAAGUUACAGCUCUGGGGGCGAAAGGCCGCUCCUGGUUUCUAAAGGCAGACGGAAUCGGCUGCAUUUUAUAUGAGAAAUAGCACCAUCAGUAGAGCCAGCAAUUUGGGCAAUAAUUAUAUUUCUUUUCCUUCUGCUUCAGUAACUACUGGCAAUGUGUAUCAAUUGGGGGCGGGGGGGAUUACAAAGAGAGAUGGGAUUCUACCUUGAUGGAAUUUUUCAAAGGAAGUAAAAGCAGACCCUAAUUCCAAGCAUAACUGAGUGUUUAAUGUCAGUUUAAUUCACACUUUCAUUUCUAUAUAUGUACCCUUCACAUAAGGGCUUUUGGAGUUUGCUGGUGAACCCUUCAUAGCAAAGCAGGCCUCUACUUCUGCUUCCCUAAGAGGUCUUGGCCUUUAUUGGAGGAGUUACCUCCAUGGCUGGAAGGUCUACCCUAGAAGGACCUUUAUAUGCAAUGAAAGCUAAAGACAGCCUUAGUCCAGACAGACAUGGUGGCUGGGAGCAUGUGAUCUCUGUCUGUGAUUUAAACGGGUGAUUUUGGCGAGGGAAUUUCCAGUUCCAGGAGAUGGGCAGUUUGAAGUCUUUGGAAUCUUCCAGCAAUUUGACAAGAGGCUUGAGAAAACCUUCUGGUAAUUAGGAGAGAGCUUUUAAGAAAUAAAACCUAAAAAGGCCCACUUUAAUUUUAGGGCAUGGCUGUUCUGUUGUUUUUGGUAAGAUAAGAUGAAGGUCACGAGAGAGAGGAAGUGAUGGGCAGUCUUCACUGGUCCGUGCACAGUGCCGUGAAAUGCUGUUUCCACAGAGAACCAGGCACGGCAGAGUCAGGAGGUCUUAAGCUUCUUUCCUUAUCUGUCUGCCAGGAACCAGGGAGCCAGGGCUCCAGGGCUACCUUCUGCCUCUCCCCGAGGCAUCCGCCAGGCAAGCUGGUGCUUGAAGUGUGGAAGGGCAAAAGCCACCUCCAGCCCAACUCUAUAAACAACAGGACCAUUUAGAGUUCCAUAAAAGCCCACGAUAAAGCACUUUAUAUGCCAGGACCUGGUAAACUUUGGAUAAGACUGUGUUCCACUUACAUUUUCUCUUAUAUAGUGUCUUCCUCAUCCACACAAAGGCUGAUAAUGUGCCUCUCACAUUUCCUCUGGCGUGAGUGUUAUGUCAGAAUGUGAAGACAGCUCACUUAUGAAACAGUCUUUCCCUCUUAAUUCAGUCAUUCCUGUAGGUGGUUGCUGUAGAAGAUGGAUUUUUUUUUUCUAAAAUAACUCAAAGAAGAUUGUUUGAAAUUUAGAAAGCAGAAACCCACUUAUGUGAUUAAAUAUGGAUUAUUAUCAAGUUGCAGUCAAACCAACAAACAAACUCAGAAGUAAAGAGGACAUUGCAGUUUAUAGUGUUCUGGAAGGUCAGUGGCUAUCAGUUACAGCAUCUCAGCCAUGUGCCAGAAGAUUCUGACCUCAUGAGGUGUACCAAUAUGAAGAUCCUGUGUGCUUUAAACAAGCUUAACUAAUAACGGGCCGAUUGCUAUGCUAAAUCCAGGAGACUUGGCCAUGGCAAUUCAGGGAUCAAGGGUUCUGUUGUCUCAAAGUAUAAAGCAGAGGGCUUGCCCAUUGUUUACACUUCUUCAGCUGCUCUUGCCAAUACUUCAGAGGCUCUUCUGAUGUAUUGGUUCACGCAUUCAGAUGAUUGGAGAUGCCCUCAACGCUAUGGUGGAAGGAGAAUGAAAAAGUGUUCCUACCCUCAAAGACUUCUUCCAAAGGAAGCCUGGACUCUUGUUUACUUUCCAUCAUUUGCCUCGGUGGUAUUCCUGCGCAUGUGGAAGUGGCCCGUCAUUGCCGUUGUCAUCUCAAGAGCAUCUUCCCAAGUAACAGCUGCGCUUUCGUGGACCCAUCUCUGGGAGUUAGUUAAGACUAACUCCUUUAAUCCUCACCACAACCCUGCAAGGUGGGUGCUAUUAUUACCCACAUUUUACAGGUGAGGAAACCAAGGUACAAAAAGUGGAGUAGUUGCCCAAGGCCACAGAUCUAGUAUGUGGCAGAGUGGCAUUACGGAUCCAGAGAGUCUGGCUCAGAAAUGAUUGCUCUACAUACACGCAGCACCUCCUGAAGGUACCAUAUGCAGUCAUUGUGCACGGCCCUAGCAAAUCAGGGAAGUAAAACACAAGCUCUCUGCCUCCAGUAGGAACAAAAGACAUGUGAAAAUAUCAGACCCAUGCAGGGGUUUCUCUAUAUUGAAGUUUGUUUUCAACAGCCCUGAAUGUUCUUAUUUAGAUAAAUGAGAGCUGCCCCUUGCCAGCACUGUGUGACCUUGGGCAAGUCCUUUUGUUCCCCGCCUUAUCGAGGACAUGAGGGAGCUGGAGCGAAUGAUCCUCAAGGUCCCUUCCUGCUCUGAGGUUGUCUGGUUCUGUGUUUCUGCAUCAGGCGCUCUGUGGCACUAAAAACACGUAGCACUUCCGAGUGCACUUCUCUCUGAGCCUCUUCCUCACCCAGGUGGGAUCUCCACAGCCUCCUGUGAGCUUUAUUAAUCACACAGCGACUGUCAUCUUCCCAGACUCGGGUGGAAUGGCUAAGGUGCCCUCUGCAGAAGAUAUCGUGGCUAAUGUUCUCAUUACUGACUAAUUGGCUAAAGAGACUUCUCUCACAUUGCAUUUAGCCUGAUUGAUAGUUUUGUAUCACCUGAUGGGUGGAAUGGACAGCCAAACCAAUUACCACCGCAGAGAGCACCCGGUACAGCAGAGCAGUGCCGCCUGAGACAAAAGGCCCUUAUAGAUCACGUCUAGGGAGGGUGCCUGCUGAGAGUUUGUUAGACGAAAUGAUUUUCUGAAAAGUACAGUUCGACAUGUACUUGGAAUCCAUGUACCUCAGGUCACCCCUAAACUCACUGGGCCUUGUCUUAUUGAAGGAAGGUGUGUUUCUGGUUAUGUUUCAAGCAUGGGUAGCCUGGGUAACCAGUUAGCUGCGUAACUAAUCCAAGUUAGCUUGUGCUGCGUGAAACUAUACAUCGGUUGGCUCAGAACUCACGCUGCAGGCCUCCCCUGGGUCACGUCCCACCCAGCCCUUCCCUCAGUAGCCCUCAUUAGACCUAGGGCAUUGCUCAGAUCCCUACCUUGCUUAUGCUGCUCAGGCUGUUGAGAGGAAAUAACAUUCAGGUCACUUGCUGCGUCAUUUAAAUCGAGUCCAUCUCUUUUUAGUGAACGUAUUACUUUGUUGAAAUCUCUGUUGAAAGUGCAAGCCUCAUUUUCAGAGAGGAAAGAGAAUAACGCAUUAGGGAUUCACCUUAAAGUCCAAGUCAAGGAACUUCUCCAUCUCUUCUUAGUCCUUUCUUUUUCUAAAGCGAAGGGUCAGAAGUCAUUCAUCGCACUUCGCUGUAAACAACCUUGAUUUCUGAGAUUUCCUGGGAGAGAUAAGGAGUUCUGAGCGCCUUUCCCUGUAAUCUAUUGAAUUGACUAGGAGAUGUCAGUGAGCCAAUGAGACGUCCUCCACUCUGUCCCCCGAGCAGGGCCGCAGUGAUCUCAGCGUCGGCUUGGGAUUCUUGAGAAUUACAAGGCACGUGACAAGAGACUUGCGACACUCAGUUUGAUAUAAAUUCUUGUGGUUGAAGCACGUUUCAGUCCACGUUGGAAAGUAGACUUGAGGAGCCCAGGGGAAUGGCUGCAAUCACAGCGGCCACCACGCUGCGCUCCUGAGCGUUGUCCUCUUCAGGUAUCUGCUUUGCUUUCAAAAAAACAGAAUACUUCCUGGAGGUCUGAUUGACAUACCGAAAGCUGUAUGUAUUUAAUGUAUGCCACUUGCCGAGUUUGGAGAUAAGAAUACACCUGCAACACUAUCACUACAAUCAAGCCCAUAAACUUAUCAUCACCUCCAAAGUUUCCUGCCUCCCCCUUCCCCCCGCACCAUUUAUUUUACUUUUAAAAAUAUUUCAAAAACAUUUUUCCUUGCCCUAGCUGGUGUGGCUCAGUUAGUUGAGUGUUGU